UCCUCAGCCACAUGGGCCUGGGAAUGGGCCGUAUCCUCUGCUUGCAGCUCUGCUUUUAUAACCUAAAAUCGUCAUCGCUAUUCUCUCCGACUUUCUGUUUACUGCCGUGUUCGUGGAAUUCACUUCGUGAGAGAUUUGUGUGGCGAAUUCAUUCCAAGGUGCUUAUUUUGAGCAUAACGUCGACGACUCCGGUCCAGGAGCGUGUUGCUUCUUGUCUUUUCGUGGAGGCACAGCAGGAGCUUUGAUGGUUUCUAGCAUUUGGCUUCCAGGAUGCAAUGUGGUGGAACCGUGAGGAGCUGAUCCGAUCUUUAUCGUGGAAUUCUCAGUCAGUAGAUAAUUGAAAGUGUACAAGUGCGUGACCAGGAAUAUGGUGAAACUGUACCGGUGAAUGCAUGUUGGAAACAAAAGAAUCCGCAGGGUUUUGUUGUUGGGAGAGGAUGUCUAAGCGCAUUCUCUGGGAAUAAGUUUGAAACAGAGCUGUACAUGUGGAUGCAAGGAACUUCAUAAAGUAUGAGGAUCGAAGAUGGAAUAGCGACCUACAUGAGGCGGUCUCAAAUAAUCCUGGUUGCUAUCUAGGUGAAGUAGAAUCAAAGAGCGAACUCAGUACCUGGAACAUGACGUCGCAAUGUGCUCAAACUCGUUUAUCGACAAAUUUUAGCUUUCUUGUGACUCCCAAGGUAUUGGCAUCAUGUCAGAAGUUGACACGGACUGGGUUACAAAAUGGUACCAUUUCCUUACGAGGGCGCUGCUCGCGUCACUGCGAGAGUGACGUGAGCUGGGAACCGAGACACCUAAACAGUCGAAUUGCGUGUAUGCGAGCUGGGGAACCAAGCAUACCUAAGCCCACAUGGGUAGAGAUGACUGCGAUCACACGUGAAGAUCAGUUCGAUGAAGCUCUCGAGUCGGGAAACCCUAUCAUCAUUGACUGGAUGGCAACCUGGUGCAGAAAAUGCGUCUAUUUGAAGCCAAAGCUGGAAAAACUUGCCGCUGAAUACCACCCUGACGUUAAGUUUUAUGUCGUGGACGUCAAUAUUGUGCCAGCAACACUGGUGACCCGCGCUGGAGUGACGGUGGGUUUUCUCGAGUUGCUACAGCCUCCAUUUUUCUCUCUUCCUGAUUACAGUUCACAUGUGAUCCAGAGAUCCUCUUUGGUUAGAUCUCCUCUUAACAUUGUCCAAUAAAACUGAAGCAAACUAUUCAACUGUAAUUUGGGCCCAACUUGAAACAUUGAACUGAUUGCCUUUUUUGUGUGAUUAUGACAUACUAUGUGAUGUUUGGGGAACUCGGUUGAGAGCUUUCAGAAAAUGCCAACGAUUCAGUUAUGGAAAAACAAGGAGAAGGCAGGGGAGAUUGUUGGUGGUGAUCAAGGUUCACUGGUGAUGGAUAAAGUUCGGGAAAUGCUGAUUCAUAGAAAGUAGCUUGUUGUGGGCAUUAGCAUUGGGCAGACUAGCUCGUCCUACACUCAACCUAGAAUAUGGUAAUCUUAUGACCCCAUUUUCAUCAUUUGUUUUAAACCUUAACGCUUAUUUAAGGAGCCGUUAAGAAUGAGUUGACAUCCAUAUUUAGUGUUUUAUGAUAUUUUGAUUAUAAGAGAUAGUGCUGUGUUUUCACUUUGACUAUCAGUGUGGGCGUCGAUUCUUCACGUCCUUUUGCA